GACGAACGCUGGCGGCGUGCUUAACACAUGCAAGUCGAGCGAGAAACUUCGGUUUCUAGCGGCGGACGGGUGAGUAACACGUGGGCAACCUGCCUCACAAUGGGGGAUAGCCUUCCGAAAGGAAGAUUAAUACCGCAUAACACAAAGGAAACGCAUGUUUCUUUUUCCAAAGAAUUUCGUUGUGAGAUGGGCCCGCGGCGCAUUAGCUUGUUGGUGAGGUAACGGCUCACCAAGGCGACGAUGCGUAGCCGACCUGAGAGGGUGAUCGGCCACAUUGGAACUGAGACACGGUCCAGACUCCUACGGGAGGCAGCAGUGGGGAAUAUUGCACAAUGGAGGAAACUCUGAUGCAGCAACGCCGCGUGAGUGAUGAAGGUCUUCGGAUUGUAAAGCUCUGUCUUCUGGGACGAUAAUGACGGUACCAGAGGAGGAAGCCACGGCUAACUACGUGCCAGCAGCCGCCGUAA
rnacentral:rRNA from 1 species